UUCAUAAAAAAAAACUAAAAAAAAAAAAGCAACACUCUUUCCCACAACCCUCACUUAUCUUCUCCCUCGUCUCUCUUCUCACCACAACAAUCCCAACCUCUCACUACAGCUCCCUUCUCUUUCACUCACCAACACCAUCGCAUCCACUCUCUUUCACCUCAUCACUGUCAUCGCCGUCGUAUUCUGUCACAACCACCAUCAUCGUCGUUAGACAAUCACCACCACCGUGCUCCGUUCACCACCGCCGUAUUCUCUCUCUUUCACAACGGUGAUGACGAUCUUCUAUCCUCCGUUCCAACACUUCGUCACCUCCACGUUGUCUCAUCUCACCACCACCACGUCGUCUCAAAUCCAACGAACACUUCGUCUCCUCCCUCCUCCACUCCUUUCAUCUCGCCACCACUAUCAUCGCCUCUGUCGCAACCACCACGCCAUCCAACCACCACCACACACACUUUGAUCGGGAUCUAAGUUUUGGAAUCAUUGGAGACACUCAAGAAGGUAAAGGGUCAAAGUAGAGGCAAAGCUCUUAAAGAUCUUAGAAAACUUGUUGUUGCUCAUGUUUGUGCUGGAAAAUAGUGUUGAAAAAUGGUGGGGUUGGUUUGGUUUGUUCUUUGUUAGGUCAUUUUACUUCACAUGUUGUUGAUUGUGAAGCUAUUGGUAUCCUUGUGAAUUUGGAUUUGAGUUUAGAAUUGAAGAGAAUAAAUCUUAUGCAUCGAGCUAACUUUGAUUGGUUGUUGAUAUUACGAAUGAGGGAACUAUUGAAACAAAGAUGAAUUGUGCUAACUCAUUGUGUUCAUCAUCACCUUCAUAUCUUUUGAAGGUUUCUGCGGUUAAUUCAAUUUUGUGUUAUUUGUUGUUUGAAGAUUUAUGAGUUUAAGUUUUGGGUUUAUACUUGAGUUAAUUUUGGAUGAUGAUGAAGAUAAUAUAUUGGGUUUUUUUUUGA